UCUUUUUACUAUUAACUGAAGAAUUAAUAAAAUUUAUAGAAGUUGUUUAAAUUGUAAUUUUUAAUAAUGUUAAGCGUGUGUUUAUAUGUGUAUUAUAUUCGGAAAGUGUUCCAAUAUCAUUAUUUUCAAUGCUAAUCCAAUGACCAGUCUAAUGAAUGCAAGAAGAAUGUGAUUGUUCAUUGAACCUAUGACCAGUGUAUUUUUCAACUUUUUACAGAAUUAUAGAACCUUUAAACUAAAGAAACCAUGGAAAAGCACAUAAGUAUUAGAUUCAUCGUUUUUGUUGCAAUUUGAAUUCAGUUCAGAUAUAUGUUCCACGAUGUUUGGUAUGAGUAAUUUUACAAGAAAGUUCAAAAGUAGACCUUAACAGAACCAGUAGCUUUGAACAAAGUUCGCUCCUUAAGGUUGAACUCUUUUGGCUUUCUGAUUUAUUUGCUUCAUUUUUCAUUCACCAAACUGAGCACUUCUUCUUUGGAUUCAUCCGACUGCCCAUUGGGCAACUGUAAGUCUUAGCAAAAUCAUAUGAGUUUGAAAGUGGGCCCAGAACCCUAAAAAUAAAGAAGUUGAAAUAAAUACGAGAACUAAAAAACUUCUUAUCUCAAAAGAAUGAAGAAGGAAACAGACAUGCCUAAGAAAAUCAUGAUAAUAGCAAAAGAAAAAGACCAAAACUAAAAUAACUGGAUCAGGUGGAAGAAAAUAAAAAAACUGGAUAAAGAAAUUUGGAGCGAGAAUGAUGUGCGAAGUCAACAAGGGCUGUAGAGUUAGAUAAGAGGGUUAAAGAGUGAACAGAUUGUUUAAACACUGAAACCUCAAGGAAAUAUCACUUCUAUGUAACAAUCUCCUCUGUUUACGAACACUUUUAGGGGCACGGAAUUUUUUUCAUAGACUUUAUAUUGAAGAAAACCUUUAAGAGACACCAUCAAAACCUUCUCCCUGUGACCGGGCACCAAGUGCGGAAAAAAUCGAAUAUUGAAACACGAAGAAAUAUCAAAACAAAAAACAUUAACCAAGCAAAUAAGAAGAUUUAAAUGUAUUCGAAACAUAUUUUUUUUAUCUCUCAGUAGCUAUCUGGAAUGCAAAUUUUGAAUAUAACAUUUGCUUCUGUAUGAAAAAUCAAGAGCUUACCUAAUAGGGCCUGGACUAUGAACUGAAGAUCUAACCUUACUCAAGGCGUCUUCGGGUCUCAUAGACCCACACCAAAUCUACAAAUAGCUCUUGUAAUGACAUUUUGUUGUAUAUUGCUCCAGUGUCAUGUCUAUCGGCUUCAGGAGUAGAAGACUGGAAUAGACAAGAUUGGGGAAGUGAAGAACAUGUGAUUAACAUUGUUUAUUGUUCAUUGGCAUGUUACAUGUUACUCUUCAAUAAGAAUUUUAU